CCAGAUUGAAUUUGUCUCCUCUGUCUUCUGGGAAGCUUGCAAGGAGACGGUGGAGAGGAGAAAAUUCUUCAGAGUGUCUAGAGACUGGCAAAACUAGAAAUGGGAUAAAAUAUGACCAGAGAGGAUCUGUUUUGUUCUCAUUUGGUCAUCAGAUUUGGGGAAAGGAGCUACUUCUUGACAAGCUAUAUAUAGGAAGGAUGGAUCUGGGUUGAGGAGUAGCAUUGGUCGCCCAUUUUGUAAGGAGAAUGUGACCUGCUUGUUUCCUCAAAGAUUGUUUUAACUAAUAGCAGAAAGAUGCACUGAUUAAUUUGACUUUAACUUCCAUCUGGAAAGUUCGUACUGUUCUUCUGCAGACUUAUAUUUGCUAAGUAUUUUGUAGACUUUUUUUUUUUUUUUUUUUUUUUUGUCUGUGGAUGUCAUUAGGUGUUUUGUAGACUCUCCUGAGCCAGACAAACUAAAUGACCGGUAGGGUCUGUUAUUCUUAACUGGACUUCUUUCAUGUUAUUUUCAUGAUCUUUAGACACACAUACUAAAAUUCACAAAGUGAAAAUAUGAGGAAGUUGCUGGUAAUUCACACAGUAAUUUGUGUUUAUUUUGUCACACAAUCUGCGAGUCAUUGUUUAAUUUACGUCUGGAAGAACUGUCGUUUGAACUUUGUCUUUCCCUUACAUAGUUUAGCAAUGGGAUAAGACAUAGUAAACUUACAAAACAGAAGUACCUGUGUGAGUGGACAAAGACCCUAACAAUACAAAAAUUAGAAUAUGUUAUAUAACCUGGAUAUUUUAAUUUUUUAUGUUUUUGUUUUGUUUUGUUUUUUACUUAAAACUAUUUUUCAGUGGUUGGAGUACGUACUACAACAUCCUCUGUUCCUGAAUUUCCUCAGGCAUGCUCUGGGAGUUUUCCUUUCAAGAUUUACCAGAGUUGACGUAAUGACUUUGAAACUGGUUCCCAACAGGUAGAAAUCAUGGAGAACAGUGAAUUGCUCAUGAUUUAUA
rnacentral:lncRNA from 1 species